UACGGAAGGCAGCAGUGGGGAAUAUUGCACAAUGGGCGCAAGCCUGAUGCAGCCAUGCCGCGUGUAUGAAGAAGGCCUUCGGGUUGUAAAGUACGUUUCAGUCGUGAGGAAGGUGUUAAGGUUAAUAACCUUAGCAAUUGACGUUAGCGACAGAAGAAGCACCGGCUAACUCCGUGCCAGCAGCCGCGGUAAUACGGAGGGUGCGAGCGUUAAUCGGAAUUACUGGGCGUAAAGGGCACGCAGGCGGUUAAUUAAGUUGGAUGUGAAAUCCCCGGGCUUAACCUGGGAAUGGCAUUCAAGACUGGUUAGCUAGAGUCUUGUAGAGGGGGUAGAAUUCCAUGUGUAGCGGUGAAAUGCGUAGAGAUGUGGAGGAAUACCGGUGGCGAAGGCGGCCCCUGGACAAAGACUGACGCUCAUGUGCGAAAGCGUGGGGAGCAAACG
rnacentral:rRNA from 1 species